rfam:Daphnia pulex DAPPTscaffold_428_Cont9517, whole genome shotgun sequence.
GGGAAUGUAGCUCAGAUGGUAGAGCGCUCGCUUAGCAUGCGAGAAGUACGGGGAUCGAUACCCUGCAUCUCCA